GCAGUAUCUGCUAAACAGGUUGCUACAAAGCUUGACUCUUGACCUUUGUUUUUUUCAAUUCAAUUCAAUUCAAUUCAAUUCAAUUCAAUUUUAUUUAUAUAGCGCCAAAUCACAACAAAAGUCGCCUCAAGGCGCUUUAUAUUGUACAGUAGAUAGCACAAUAAUAAAUACAGAGAAAAACCCAACAAUCAUAUGACCCCCUAUGAGCAAGCACUUUUUUUAACAUUUAAAUUCAUACAAUUACGACAAAUUAAAUAUUUGUCCACUUUUUCUAGUUUUGAAUGUAAUAUAAAGUCAAACAAAGAAUUGUCUGUUUUGCUCAUAUGAUGAUCCAGAACUAAUAAUCCGAUAGAGUUUUUUCUUCUUGUGUGUCUCUAAAAGUGUAUCUACUUUUUGAUAACUUUGUUUUCAUUGUAAAACAGAUCAGUACAUUUGAUGAAAUGGUAUUAAUUUUGUACCUUUUCAUCUUCAGCCUUUGAACAAGAAAUGGCAUUGCUGUUGUUUUUACAUUUCCUUCCACCACCACCAGAAGGACAAAGGUCUCCAAAAAUCAGGGCAACUGAUGAAAGUCACAGACUUGUAGUCUUUCAUAAGUUUCCUUAUGUCAACCCCAGUCAUGCUGCAGUCUGGAAGAGCAACUCUGCAAUCAACAAGGUCGACAACCAUACCCCCUCACUGUUGGGCAUCAGAGGAGCAAGACUGACACCUUCUACAUCACCAUGGAUAAGCAUCUUAUUCCAUGUCAGGCGAGCCACUCACUCGGGGCAUUUGAUGAACUGUUCAAAGCACACUUUGUGUUUAAUUUGUCCCAAGAUAAUAUAAAGCUGGACUUGUUAUUUGCAGUGCAGUGGAAGAAGACAUGUCUGUUUUUUGCCAAAUAAGUGAUUUACUUUUGUUUGAAGAUUACAUUUUUUAAUGGGAAACAAGUUGUUUACAGUGUUUUGAUAACCAUCUAUAUGCAUUAAGAGUUGUACAUACUGAGGAGAGAUGAAUAGUGAAAAUGUCAGAUCUAAAGUUUUAUAAACCUUUUGAUAUGCAAAGGUCAUAUAAUGUUUCAGAUGAGACAGUGUACAUUGUACCGUCAUUCACAAAUCAAGACAUAAUAAAUGUCCUU
ensembl:lncRNA